CAAGGAGCUUGUUGAGCAGCUGAGUGAUUUAAAGCAAUCAGAUUCUUUUAGCUUUUAAUCAUGCAGCUGGACAGGCUCUUAC
rfam:Manacus vitellinus contig36762, whole genome shotgun sequence.